CAAGUAGUGGCGAACGAACGCGGAAUAGCCUAAACCGGCAGGUUUACCUGUCGGGGUUGCGGGACUUAGAUAUGACAUGCGGCCGGUUAGCACAACCGUCUGGGAAGUCGGGCCAUAGAGGGUGACAGCCCCCUGUGCGAAAACUGAAAGCAGUCUAUAAGUAUCCCAAGUAGGUCGGCACACGUGAAACUCCGACUGAAUCCGGGGAGACCACUCUCCAAGGCUAAAUACUAGCUGAUGACCGAUAGUGAAACAGUACCGCGAGGGAAAGGUGAAAAAGUACCCCUUUUAGGGGAGUGAAAAGUAUCUGAAAUCAUGUGCCUGCAAAGUGUGGGAGCCCUUCUGGGGUGACCGCAUGCCUUUUGCAUAAUGAGCUUGCGACUUACUUUAAGCAGCCAGGUUAAGCCAUAGGCGGAGCCGAAGCGAAAGCGAGUGUUAAUAGCGCGUCAAGUUGCUUGAAGUAGACCCGAAGCUGAGUGAUCUAUCCAUGGUCAGGUUGAACCUCCGGUAACACGGAGUGGAGGACCGAACCGGUGAGCGUUGAAAAGCUUUCGGAUGAACUGUGGAUAGGAGCGAAAGACCAAUCAAACUCAGUGAUAGCUGGUUCUCUUCGAAAUAUCUUGAGGGAUAGCCUUACGCCAUUGACUUACGGGGGUAGAGCACUGAUUGUCCGCGGGUCCUUACCGGGAUACCAACGACUGUCAAACUUCGAAUACCGUUAAGUUUUACCGUAGGAGUCAGACUGUGGGGGAUAAGCUUCAUAGUCGAGAGGGAAACAACCCAGAUCGCCGUCUAAGGUCCCUAAUUUAAGCUAAGUGGUUUGAAGGAUGUGAAGUUGCGUAAACAACCAGGAUGUUGGCUUAGAGGCAGCCAUCAUUUAAAGAUCGCGUAAUAGCGCACUGGUCGAGUGAUUUUGCGCCGAAGAUGAUCGGGACUAAGCUUAAAACCGAAGACGCGGAUGUACAGCAAUGUACGUGGUAGAAGAGCGUUGUAUGAGGAGCGAAGCGUGAAUGAGAAUGAGCGUGGACUUCAUACAAGUGACCAUGCAAGCAUGAGUAGCGAAAAACCGGAUGGAAAUUCCGGUCACCGUAAGACCAAGGUUUCCCGGGGAAGGUUCGUCCGCCCGGGGUUAGCCGGAUCCUAAGGCCAGGCCGAAAGGCGUAGUCGAUGGACAACGGGUUAAUAUUCCCGUGCCGCCUUAACGGAGUGACGGAGUGACGCAGUAUGCUAAGCGAGCUGGCUAUAUGCCAGUCUAAUGUCGUAGGACGUCAGGGGUUAAAUGACCUGACAUCAAGUCUGAAAACGGAUGGGACUCGAAGCCUUCGGGUAACGGGGAUUCGCUGAUGCUUUGCUGACGAGAAAAGCUCCUAAACGUUGAUGUUUUGGCGUCCGUACCGUAAACCGACACAGGUGGUCGAGGCGAGUAGCCUAAGGUGCGCGAGUGAAACCACUUCAAGGAACUCGGCAAAUUAGCCCCGUAACUUUGGGAGAAGGGGUGCCGAACGGGUGCAUAGCCCGGACGGUUUCAACAAAGAGGCCGCGGCGACUGUUUAACAAAAACAUAGCUCUCUGCUAACUCGCAAGAGGAUGUAUAGGGAGUGACACGUGACCAAUGCCGAAAGGUCAAUCGGAUCCGUUAGCAGCAAUGCGAAGCGGUGAUGUGAAGCCCCGGUGAAUGUCGGCCGUAACUAUAACGGUCCUAAGGUAGCGAAAUUCCUUGUC
rnacentral:rRNA from 1 species